rnacentral:rRNA from 1 species
GACAGCAGUAGCCGCGGGAACACGUAGGUGGCAAGCGUUGUCCGGAAUUAUUGGGCGUAAAGGGCUCGCAGGCGGUUUCUUAAGCCUGAUGUGAAAGCCCCCGGCUCAACCGGGGAGGGUCAUUGGAAACUGGGAAACUUGAGUGCAGAAGAGGAGAGUGGAAUUCCACGUGUAGCGGUGAAAUGCGUAGAGAUGUGGAGGAACACCAGUGGCGGAGGCGACUCUCUGGUCUGUAACUGACGCUGAGGAGCGAAAGCGUGGGGAGCGAACAGGAUUAGAUACCCGGGUAGUCCCUGUCUCUUAUAC